GGGGGUAUAGCUCAGUGUUAGAGCAUUUGACUACAGAUCAAGAGGUCCCAGAUUCAGCUUCUGGUGCCCCCU
rnacentral:tRNA from 1 species